UAUAAAAUAUAAAAAUUUAAUUUUACAAUGAAAAUGUAAGGUUUUAUUUAAACUAUAUAAAUAGAAAUAU
rnacentral:tRNA from 1 species